GGUGAUAUAGCUCAGCGGUAGAGCAUUUGCCUAAUAUGCAAAGUCCUGGGUUCAAUUCCCAGUGCCACAG